CCGCGGGGCCGGCCCCGGGCGGCGGCGGCGGCGGCCCCGGAGGAGCGUUGUGCUUGCGGCGCCUCCUCGGCUCGACAGCGGCCGCGGGACGCCGGCGCGACCGGGGGGCUCGGGCCUGCCCCCGCCCCGGGCGCCGCCCCCAGGCAGCGGCGUCGGCAGCGGGAGGGGGAGCUCGGUGGGCUCGGUGCGGGGGGCUCGGGGAGCUGGGUGCUGGGAGCUGGGUGCGGGGAGCUCGGGGAGCUGAGCUCGGGGAGCUCGGUGGGCUGAGCUCGGUGCGGUGAGCUCGGUGGGCUAAACUCGGUGAGCUCAGUGCGGGGAGCUGGGUGCGGGGAGCUCGGUGCGGGGAGCUCGGUGCGGUGCUGGGGCGGCCCCUGCCGUGGGAGAGCGGGCGAGCGCGGUGAGGAGGCUCCGGGCUGUGGCAGCCGCAGCAACACAAGAGUCGCUUUAAACCAGAGUUCUCUCUUCCAGUAGUGGUCAGUAGGUUCCUCUCGUGACCAAAUUCCCCAAAUCCCUCUUUUUCUCUCUCUACAGGAAAACGAUCAUAUAAAGCAGUUUUCAACAUCUUUAUCGCUCCCCACUGAGGAUAUAAAUAGCAGUGGAACCUGUGCAGAAAUCUCAUCUCCUGAGGAUAAAAUAUCUAUUCGUUUCCAUCGUGUUGUGAAUGAACGGAAAGUGCUCAGCUGCUGGACUUCUCUAUUCUCCUUUACUUUAAAACUUCAGCUGAUGAAGAAUGUUUCUUCCCCAAACUUUAAGCAACAUCCUGCAGCUGUAAGCCAGCUGGUGCAGAGCCAGUCUGUCAGGGCAGCUACCCCACCAGCGCCGUGGCUACAGCAUGAAUACCGGGUGCCUAGUCUAACGCACGGCUGCUCUAGAAGAAGAGUUUAGAACAGAAAACACGUUUCUCCUCUGCCAUAAUACACAAGGUAGGGCAGCAGGCUGGUGGCAGCGCUACAGCUUUGUCUUCCGCUGUCUCUGUUGGCACACGAAGGCCUUCAGGUACGGGAAGGCCCAGCGCACCCUUCGGCCUCUUCACGCCCGAGAGGCGUUGGGCAGAGCGGGUGUCGGGGUUUGCACGUUCCAUCCUUACCUGUUCUUUAAACAGUUCGUGAAUAAAGUUGUAAAUGUGUA
rnacentral:lncRNA from 1 species